rnacentral:rRNA from 1 species
UCUCCAAGGGAAACCAUAAGUUUUUCGGUUACGGGGAGAGUAUGGUCGCAAGGCUGAAAUUUAAAGGAAUUGACGGAAGGGCACCACCAGGGGUGGAACCUGCGGCUUAAUUUGACUCAACACGGGGAAACUUACAUGGUCCAGACAUCGAUAGGAUAAACAGACUGAUAGAUCUUUUUUGAUGCGGUGAGUGGUGGUGCAUGGCCGUUCCUAGUUCGUGGAGUGAUCUGUCAGGUUUAUUCCGGUAACGAACGAGACUACAACCUUCAUUUAAGAGGCAAAAGCAGGUUAUGCGAGAGGUGCUUCGCGGUGCCUUGUUCGUGUCUCUGUAAGAAGAAUAUGCAAAUUCUCAGAAAGCUGGGCAAACGGGCAACCGGGAGCUCAGUGAUUUGAUGGAGGAGUGUAUUUUCUCUUUUGUCAAGCAGUCAUGGGGCAACCUAUGGCUGACUUAUGGAGGGACUGCUGGUGUUACAAAACCAGAGGAAGUGUGGCGCUAACAG